rnacentral:rRNA from 1 species
GACGAACGCUGGCGGCGUGCUUAACACAUGCAAGUCGAACGGAAAGGCCCUGCUUUUGUGGGGUGCUCGAGUGGCGAACGGGUGAGUAACACGUGAGUAACCUGCCCUUGACUUUGGGAUAACUUCAGGAAACUGGGGCUAAUACCGGAUAGGAGCCCCUGCUGCAUGGUGGGGGUUGGAAAGUUUCGGCGGUUGGGGAUGGACUCGCGGCUUAUCAGCUUGUUGGUGGGGUAGUGGCUUACCAAGGCUUUGACGGGUAGCCGGCCUGAGAGGGUGACCGGCCACAUUGGGACUGAGAUACGGCCCAGACUCCUACGGGAGGCAGCAGUGGGGAAUAUUGCACAAUGGGCGGAAGCCUGAUGCAGCAACGCCGCGUGCGGGAUGACGGCCUUCGGGUUAUAAACCGCUUUCGCCUGUGACGAAGCGUGAGUGACGGUAAUGAGUAAAGAAGCACCGGCUAACUACGUG